GAUGAAGAACGUAGCGAAAUGCGAUAAGUAAUGCGAAUUGCAGAAUUCAGCGAGUCAUCGAAUCUUUGAACGCACAUUGCGCCCGCCAGUAUUCUGGCGGGCAUGCCUGUUCGAGCGUCAUUUCAACCAUCAAGCCCCAGGCUUGUGUUGGGGACCUGCGGCUGCCGCAGGCCCUGAAAACCAGUGGCGGGCUCGCUGUCACACCGGGCGUAGUAGAUUUUAUCUCGCUCAGGGCGUGCUGCGGGUUCCGGCCGUUAAAAAGCCUUUUUUACCCAAGGUUGACCUCGGAUCAGGUAGGAAGACCCGCUGAACUUAAGCAUAUCAAUAAGCGGAGGA
rnacentral:misc_RNA from 1 species